CCAUCUUCAAACACAUGCAGGUAUGUGCAGGUCACCUUUUUAAAGAGGUCUGAUUUUAAAUCACAGUCUGUUAUGAAUGAAGGGCAUUCGUAGGAAAAAUAUACAGAUAAAUUGUACAUAAUGAACAUUUGGGCUAUGUGUUCUAUCAUCUGUGUAUCUUUAAAGGAAAACUGGACAUGCAUGCAGGGUUUAAAAUAAGUAGCCAUGUUGAACACCGUAGACAAAGUGAGUUAUAGAGAUUUGUUUUUGUUUUGCUUUAAUAGAACCCAGUUCCCGUACGGUUGGCCUACGAGGCGCUGAUUCGGUUCCUGAGGACAUCGUCUAACCAGGAAUCGACUGCAGCAGAGCUCUCCGGGGCCGGGCUUCAUCAUUUCAACUUUUUGGAUGUGUUCUACGAACUGCUCAUCGUCGGCUACUACGGGAACGGCUUUGUACCUGAGACAAUUGAGGGAGGAUUCUUACAGCGGCUGAUGGAACUUGUCAGCAUGUGGGACCUGGAUGUGUGGGAGCCUGCAGUGGAGCUGUAUUUUACAGUGCUUAUUGAUCAGCUGACAGAACUUCUAGAAGUUGUGUUUUCUCAGCCCCUGGAGCUGACCCAGAAGCCUUGGCCACUGCAGUUACACGAACCAUCAAGCAGCAUGUCCAGCUGAUGAUGAACACUUUGGAGAAGCUAUGAGCUAUGUAGUCCCUUAACCCUACACCUCCCCAUUCCCUGCCAUCCCU